CCUACGGGUGGCAGCAGUGGGGAAUAUUGGACAAUGGGGGCAACCCUGAUCCAGCGAUGCCGCGUGAGUGAAGAAGGCCUUCGGGUCGUAAAGCUCUUUAGGUUGGGAAGAAGUGUAUUGGGUUAAUACCCUGAUACAUUGACGGUACCGACAGAAUAAGCACCGGCAAACUCUGUGCCAGCAGCCGCGGUAAUACAGAGGGUGCGAGCGUUAAUCGGAUUUACUGGGCGUAAAGGGCGCGUAGGCGGUUCAAUGAGUGUGAUGUGAAAGCCCUG
rnacentral:rRNA from 1 species